rnacentral:rRNA from 1 species
GACGAACGCUGGCGGCGUGCUUAACACAUGCAAGUCGAACGGAAAGGCCCUGCUUUUGUGGUGUGCUCGAGUGGCGAACGGGUGAGUAACACGUGAGUAACCUGCCCUUGUCUUUGGGAUAACUUCAGGAAACUGGGGCUAAUAUCGUAUAGGAGCUCCUGCUGCAUGGUGGGGGUUGGAAAUUUUCGGCGGUUGGGGAUGGACUCGCGGCUUAUCAGCUUGUUGGUGGGGUAGUGGCUUACCAAGGCUUUGACCGGUAGCCGGCCUGUGAGGGUGACCGGCCACCUGGGUACUGAGAUACGGCGCAGACGCCUACGGGAGGCAGCAGUGGGGAUUAUUGCACAAUGGGCGGGAGCCUGAUGCAGCAACGCCGCGUGCGGGAUGACGGCCUUCGGGUUGUAAACCGCAUUCGCCUGUGACGAAGCGUGAGUGACGGUAAUGGGUAAAGAAGCACCGGCUAACUACGUG